rnacentral:rRNA from 1 species
GAUGAACGCUGGCGGCGUGCCUAAUACAUGCCAGUCGAACGAAACUUCUUUAUCACCGAGUGCUUGCACUCACCGAUAAAGAGUUGAGUGGCGAACGGGUGAGUAACACGUGGGCAACCUGCCCAAAAGAGGGGGAUAACACUUGGAAACAGGUGCUAAUACCGCAUAACCAUAGUUACCGCAUGGUAACUAUGUAAAAGGUGGCUAUACUACCGCCUUUGGAUGGGCCCGCGGCGCAUUAGCUAGUUGGUAGGGUAAAGGCUUACCAAGGCAAUGAUGCGUAGCCGAAUUGAGAGGUUGAUCGGCCACAUUGGGACUGAGACACGGCCCAAACUCCUACGGGAGGCAGCAGUAGGGAAUCUUCCACAAUGGGCGAAAGCCUGAUGGAGCAACGCCGCGUGGGUGAAGAAGGUCUUCGGAUCGUAAAACCCUGUUGUUAGAGAAGAAAGUGCGUGAGAGUAACUGUUCACGUUUCGACGGUAUCUAACCAGAAAGCCACGGCUAACUACGUG